CCUACGGGAGGCAGCAGUGAGGAAUAUUGGUCAAUGGGAGAGAUCCUGAACCAGCCAAGCCGCGUGAGGGAAGACGGCCCUAUGGGUUGUAAACCUCUUUUGUCGGAGAACAAAACCCGGGACGUGUCCCGGACUGCGUGUAUCCGAAGAAAAAGCAUCGGCAAAGUCCGUGCCAGCAGCCGCGGUAAUACGGAGGAUGCGAGCGUUAUCCGGAUUUAUUGGGUUUAAAGGGUGGGUAGGCGGUCCGUUAAGUCAGCGGUAAAAUGGCGGGGCUCAACCCCGUCGAGCCGUUGAAACUGGCAGACUUGAGUGGGCGAGAAGUACGCGGAAUGCGCGGUGUAGCGGUGAAAUGCAUAGAUAUCGCGCAGAACUCCGAUUGCGAAGGCAGCGUACCGGCGCCAGACUGACGCUGAGGCACGAAAGCGUGGGGAUCGAACAGGAUUAGAUACCCGAGUAGUC
rnacentral:rRNA from 1 species